GGCGUAAAGCGCAUGCAGGUGGUCAGAUAAGUCAGAUGUGAAAGCCCCGGGCUCAACCUGGGAACUGCAUUUGAAACUGUCCGACUAGAGUCCUGUAGAGGGGGGUAGAAUUUC
rnacentral:rRNA from 1 species